CAAACUAAUUAGGGAAUAUUUCCCAAAAAACUCACGCCUAUCCAUUCAUUCAUUUCCAACAUUUUCAAAACCCUGGCUUCUCCACAACCUCAACUCCAUUAGCCCCUUCUCCAUUGCAGAUCCUCUCCUCUCAAAACUACAAGUGAUAAUUGAUCAAGUUCUCACUCUCGUAAAGUUCAAUAUCACGCCUUUCCCUUCCAUUAUUUUCCUUACAUCAAUUUACUUAUGCUAUUUCUCUCCCCUGAGUCUCCUCGUUCUUCAAUGGCGGCGAUCCUAGCUUGUUCAUAAGUUUCUGGUGGUAUUUUAUGUGAAGGUAAUCAAUCUAGCGCUUGGAGUGAGGAGUGAGGAAUGCGGACUGCACUGUUGCCGGGGGUUCUGACGUUGUGAGUGAACGAGAAGAAGGCAGUUCCAAUAUCAAGGAAAUUAAUUCGACAGUAUUGAUUGAUCUGAAGUAGGAUAACAAUUUUCAAAAGAAUUUAUUGAGUCCAUGGCCUCUUUUAACGAGGGUGUACUACACAAAGUUUUGAGCUACAGUGCUUAAUGCACAAAUCAGGAGUCUACAAGACCGACUGAACAGAAUCGAUAAAUCAUUGAGAAGUAGCUCAACAUCUGAAACUCUUUUCAACUCCAGUGUGGUUGUAUUGAGCUCGAGUUCCACGCUCUUCCCAUGUUGUUUGUCUUCCUUCUCUGAUUGCAGUUCCUCAAGGGUGUAAAACAUCCAACUGUCUUGUUAGGUAAGCUAGUUAUGUAUGUCCGUCAAAUAUGCGGAGUGCUUUGUAGUUUAUGAAUUGAAGCUUCAAUAUUCAAGUUAAUUGGAGUUGCUUAGAGAUAUAUGCCUAACAUUUGUAAUGUUUUUCCAUUUGAUUAUGAGCUUGUUGUACAAGUAGGUAUGAAGGAGAUCUCUCGGUUAAUGCAGUAACAGAUUGGUUUGCAAUAACGAUACUGAGGUUAACUCGCAUUCCUUAUUACACAAAGGACACAUUGAUUUGCAGAGAGCAAGAGCAAGAGAAGUUGGUAAAUCUCGUCAUCCCAUAUAUAAAUCAUACCAUCCAGAUAGAUGAUAAAGCACUCCAAGAAAAACAAGGUCAAAAUAACGACUCUUAUGGGAAAGCAAAUGUAAGGCUAGUUUCCGAUACCGCGGCCUCCCGCUCUAACUUCUAUCCAAAUACCAUAUGAAGCUGAAGAACAACAUAGAGUAUUUCUGUUGAGUAAAUUCUUAGUGAAUAUAUGAUUUCAACAAAACAAGGAGAUGAAUUUGCCAUUUUUUUUGUACGUACAUAGAUUAGGUUUAUUUUAGUUGUAAUAUUCUUUCUGUUUUCAAAAGGAUUGGAAUAUGUAUUACAUUUAGUUAUGGCAUUGGUGGCAAUGACUUGUAGUAUAU